CUGUUAUUUCCCCUGUGUAUCCGGGUGCGAAGAAGAUUCUGUGGUGCCGCCUUAUCCCGUCCAGAUUCAGGAUGCUCAUUCAGUGGAUGAAACGUCGUCAGAAGGCAGCUUGUCUUCUUGCCAAGCAUUGCUCAUCAAAUCCAAGGUCCUGCCGUCUCUCUGUACCUCACUGUCCCUUCUCCUGCAUCCUUGGUCUUGCCAGAUCAGUAGCCUUGCACGGCUCCCACCUCUGCCCAGAUUUUGCUUUUUUAUGGAAAACAUGUUUAUGUUUGAUAGUCUUUUAAUUUUUGUUCAUUGACUGUUUCAUUGACUGUUCAUUGACUGCAUUUUGCAAACUUUUAGGUUUGCUGUCCUUGGUCUUUUGGAGAAGUUACAAGCUUUCUUGAUGGGAUAAAACUUUCAUGUUUUAAUUUUUUUUCAUGUGUUCAAAGAAAAAUAAUCACUGAAGACUCAUGCACAAGCCAACGGAAACAGAAAGAAGUUACCCAGUGGGAGAGAUCACAGACCAUCUGUGGUACAGGGGUAUCUGGAUGUUGAACGGUUUGCUGAUGGUUUCGCAGAGUAUUGGGUAGUGGCUGAACGGGAGUGGCUCCCCAAAUCACAGAGCUCUAUCUACAACCUUCCUAGCAAAGGAAGUAUUUAUGACCAAGGAAUGUGCAAUGAGGGCAGACUAGACCUGGAGUCCAUCUCUCUCUUUCUGCCUCUCUUCUCCCAUCCUUCCUUCCUCACUCCUUACCUCUUCUUAAUCCACAAGAUGUAUUUAUUGGGAUGUGGUCUUUAGAAUCCCUUUCUUCUAAAUCAGAGACUUUUUUUAGGUCUCAAAAAAUAUAUAUUGCAUGACUACAGAAUGGGUGACUUUUUCAAAACCAAAUCCUGUCUUUUUAUUCCUGUGCAUUGAUAGAAAGUACUGGCUUCACACUAGGAUAAGAUGACAUUAAAAUGAGAUGAAUAAAAUGUGUGUUAAAUGGUUAUGAGAAUGAUGGGUCACCACGACCUGCUGAGACGGUGUCAAGGCUCAGGGCCGCAGUCCAUACUCCCUGCCUCGCCCCCCACCUGAUUUGAAGCCAUUUGAAAAAUGCAGAAGUCAGACCGUGGUAGGUUUAAAGGUCUGCUUUAUUACUGCUGAGAGGUAAACUGGAGAACUUGCCCUAGCUUUCUGGCACUAUUGGGCUCCCUAAUAGAGAUUCUGACUCAGCUGUGGGUCAUAUCUCCUAAGCCUGUGGCAUGGAAGGAACUGGAAGAAAACCAUGCACACUGCAGGAGGGGCUCCCAACGAAGCUGCUUGUCCUGAGUUGCCCAUCAGCUAAGUUCCUCCUUCUUCCGUGGGAGGAGCCAGUGGAGAGCAGACAGGACAGGAAGGGUGACUGAUUGAAGUCUGCAUGGAGGGAGGAAGGAGGACAACCAUUUUUCUGCCUCUAAAUGUGUUUUCAUGGCUAAACCAUUAGAAAAAGAUAAUUCUGUUUUCUUCUAAAGAAAGGUUAAAGGUGCUUUGGUCAUGCUUAUCUUUUUCGAAGAUAUUGUUAUUCAUUGUUUAAUGAAGACAAAAGUUACAGACUGAGUCACUGGUUCUUGAAUUAAAUAUUCAUUGGUAUCACCUGGGAAACCUGUUUCUAGUACAGGGUCUCAAGCUCUGCUCUCAGAGACUCAGUAGGAAGGCGUAAAGCCCGGGAAUUCCUCGGGUGGUCUUAGGACCAUACCUUGAGCAAUACCGCCUGGAUAUGCCUUCCUCCAUAACCAUCUGUUUCCGAACUCUUUUCAUAUUGGGCGCUCAUCUUGUAGCCAUGUCAAGCUUAUUAAAGAUGAUUGUUGGGCAUUCCCAUUGUGGCUCAGUGGAAACGAAUCUGACUAAUAUCCAUGAGGAUGUGGGUUGGAUCCCUGGCUUCACUCAGUGGGUCAGGGAUCUGGCAUAGCUCCGAUUCGACCCCUAGCCUGGGAACUUCCAUAUGCCACAGGUGCAGCCCAAAAAGCAAAAAUAAAAAAGGAUGAUUGUUUACCACAUCCCCGUUAUUAAUUAAUAUUAUUCUUUCUUAUAUGUUCACAGAGAAAACCUAGACAUAUAGAUGUGAAACUGUAAAUAGUGGUUAUCGGGGGAAGAGUUUUUCAUUAUUUUUUUCUACAGCGGUGUCUUUUGACAGUCUUUAAUAAUAAGCUUGUUUUUCUCCUAUGUUCAGCAAAAACGCUGAAGAUUCUCCUGUUUCGUAAAGGGGGAGGAAAGAGAGGAAAGAAGGAAGAAAAAGCAAGUCCAAUGCUGAGGUUUUCAAGAAAAAGGAAAAACGAUCCCUUCCUCUCAAACUUUACUUGACUCUUGGCCCUACCUGUUACUCAGAUGCAUCCUCUUAUUGCUAAACCAAUGGACUUUUGAUAAGUCCUUACCAAUUCCAUUCCCUCACUCCAGUCUGUUCUGCGCACAUCUCUUCAUUGUAUCUUAAAAUGUAAACCAUAUUACAUCACUUCUUUGCCUCAAACCUUUGUGAUUUCCAUUGCACUUAGACUGAAAUCCAAAUUUCUCAUUUUGACCUAUAAUGUCCUUUUAUAACGCAAUCCCGCUAAACGUCUUCAUCUCACUCCACUUGCUAGUCCUGUAGCCUAGUACAGUACCUGUCACAAAAUAAAUGCUUGACACAUAUUGGUGAAUUAUAGAAGGAAUGGAUAAACAGGGAAUGCAUAUCCCUUCCAGAGAGGCUAAAGUGUAGAAUGAUUGGAUUUGCUUCCCAAACCUACAGCUGGUCUUUCCCAUUGGUGCUGAUGACACUUCAGGGGUCAUACUCAUUUCCCAGGUUUUAUUCCUUCCUAGUUGAACAGUUCUGAUCUCUUAUGAGCCCCUGAAGUCCAGCUAUGUCCUUCUCUGACAUUGAAGUCAAGUGGCUGAGCUUAUGUAAGACAGAGCAGUGAUGAAGGGAGUCUGUCCAGGACUCCGAUUAUCUGCCUUUCUAACUGGCUCGAUGGCUUCCUGGUGUUUGUUUGCUCAAGAUUCAUGGGCAGAAGACAGAAUAUCCAUUCUCCUUCACCUCCAGUCCAUCCUGGUUUAUACCUCAAAAAUAUCGUUUUUUUUCCACACUGAGUAAAAAAGGGUAAAAGUCUUUUGAUAGGCCACCAGCAAGAUAGUGACAUCAUUUCCUUUUUCAGUAACUAUUCAAAAAUAGCAGAUUCUGUCCUUUUCUAAAUAGUAUCUGGAAUAAAAGAAAAAAUAUCCUGGCUUCGAG
rnacentral:lncRNA from 1 species